GACGAACGCUGGCGGCGUGCUUAACACAUGCCAGUCGUACGGUAAGGCCCUUUCGGGGGUACACGAGUGGCGAACGGGUGAGUAACACGUGCGUAACCUGCCCACAACUUUGGGAUAACGCUAGGAAACUGGUGCUAAUACUGGAUAUGUGCUCCUGCUGCAUGGUGGGGGUUGGAAAGCUCCGGCGGUUGUGGAUGGACUCGCGGCCUAUCAGCUUGUUGGUGGGGUAGUGGCCUACCAAGGCGGCGACGGGUAGCCGGCCUGAGAGGGUGACCGGCCACAUUGGGACUGAGAUACGGCCCAGACUCCUACGGGAGGCAGCAGUGGGGAAUAUUGCACAAUGGGCGCAAGCCUGAUGCAGCAACGCCGCGUGCGGGAUGACGGCCUUCGGGUUGUAAACCGCUUUCAGCAGGGACGAAGCUUUUUGUGACGGUACCUGCAGAAGAAGCACCGGCUAACUACGUG
rnacentral:rRNA from 1 species